rnacentral:rRNA from 1 species
CCUACGGGUGGCAGCAGUGAGGAAUAUUGGUCAAUGGGCGCGAGCCUGAACCAGCCAAGUAGCGUGUAGGAUGACUGCCCUACGGGUUGUAAACUUCUUUUAUAAAGGAAUAAAGUGAGGCACGUGUGCCUUUUUGUAUGUACUUUAUAAAUAAGGAUCGGCUAACUCCGUGCCAGCAGACGCGGUAAUACGGAGGAUCCGAGCGUUAUCCGGAUUUAUUGGGGUUAAAGGGAGGGUAAAUGGGUUGUUAAGUCAGUUGUGAAAGUUUGCGGCUCAACCGUAGAAGUGCAAUUGAUACUGGCAGUCUUGAGUACAGUUGAGGUAGGCGGAAUGCGUGGUGUAGCGGUGAAAUGCUUAGAUAUCACGAAGAACUCCGAUUGCGAAGGCAGCUUACCAAACUGCCACUGACAUUGAUGCUCGAAAGUGUGGGUAUCAAACAGGAUUAGAUACCCUAGUAGUC